rnacentral:rRNA from 1 species
UACGUAGGGUGCGAGCGUUGUCCGGAAUUAUUGGGCGUAAAGAGCUUGUAGGCGGUCUGUCGCGUCUGCUGUGAAAAUCCGGGGCUCAACCCCGGACUUGCAGUGGGUACGGGCAGACUAGAGUGUGGUAGGGGAGACUGGAAUUCCUGGUGUAGCGGUGAAACGCGCAGAUAUCAGGAGGAACACCGAUGGCGAAGGCAGGUCUCUGGGCCUGACCUGACGCUGAGGAGCGAAAGCGUGGGGAGCGAACAGG